rnacentral:piRNA from 1 species
CUAUAUGAACCACAUGCAGAGUCUACGCUU